rnacentral:rRNA from 1 species
CCUACGGGCGGCAGCAGUGAGGAAUAUUGGUCAAUGGACGAGAGUCUGAACCAGCCAAGUAGCGUGAAGGAUGACUGCCCUAUGGGUUGUAAACCUCUUUUAUAAGGGAAUAAAGUGUGGGACGUGUCCUCUUUUGUAUGUACCUUAUGAAUAAGGAUCGGCUAACUCCGUGCCAGCAGCCGCGGUAAUACGGAGGAUCCGAGCGUUAUCCGGAUUUAUUGGGUUUAAAGGGUGCGUAGGCGGCCUGUUAAGUCAGCGGUGAAAGUCUGUGGCUCAACCAUAGAAUUGCAGUUGAAACUGGGGGGCUUGAGUAUGUUUGAGGCAGGCGGAAUGCGUGGUGUAGCGGUGAAAUGCUUAGAUAUCACGAAGAACCCCGAUUGCGAAGGCAGCCUGCCAAGCCAUGACUGACGCUGAUGCACGAAAGCGUGGGGAUCAAACAGGAUUAGAUACCCGUGUAGUC